rnacentral:rRNA from 1 species
CCUACGGGUGGCAGCAGUCGAGAAUCAUUCACAAUGGGGGAAACCCUGAUGGUGCGACGCCGCGUGGGGGAAUGAAGGUCUUCGGUUUGUAAACCCCUGUCAUGUGGGAGCAAAUUAAAAUGUUAGUACCACAAGAGGAAGAGACGGCUAACUCUGUGCCAGCAGUCGCGGGAAUACAGAGUUCUCAAGCGUUGAUCGGAAUCACUGGGCGUAAAGCGUGCGUAGGCUGUUUCGCAAGUCGGUGGUGAAAGGCUAGGGCUCAACCCGAGGACGGCACAUGAUAAUGCGAUUCUAGAGUAAUGGAGGGGCAGCCGGAAUUCUCGGUGUAGCAGUGAAAUGCGUAGAUAUCGAGAGGAACACUCGUGGCGAAGGCGGGUUCCUGGACAUUAACUGACGCUGAGGCGCGAAGGCCAGGGGAGCGAAAGGGAUUAGAUACCCUGGUAGUC